UCGUUCGCGACUUACGCACUUACGUCGCGUGUCUCGUCGAUUGUUUUGUAUCACCGCUGACCAAAAUUUGUGGUUUGUAAUUGAAAUAUGUAUAUCGAUGCUCAUGCGUACUGUCGUUUCCUAAUCAUAUCGUAAUUAUUGUUUCGUAGCGUACGAGGGAAAGCAGAGGCUUGGUCGACGUCAGUCGGUGCCAGGCAGCGUAAUCGGGGAGAGGGAUUAAUCUCCAAUCGGCUGACGAAGGAGGAUCAUCCUUUUACCGGUGGAAAAUAGGGUGGAUUGGCGGAGCAAGAAGGCUAAACAGAGAAUAAACAGGAGCUAUAGCCGAACGAGGGAGAAGAGCCAAAAGAGCUUGGGGCGGAUCUACGGAACUAUCCCUCGGUAAAGGCGGGCUGGUAACGACUAUGCAAAUUUCAUUUGGCCCGGCCCAAUUCUUCACACACGGAAGAUUAAGACAUUAGACUACGAGGGGAAGAAGGGACGGGGAGAGCGGAAAGCACGUCCUAAACUGAAGAGUGAAUAUAGACGACGGCGAGGGAGUAAAAGAGAAAUCUUGCUACCGGGGAAAGUACGACGGUCUCAAUUAUUUCAUGUACAGAGUUAUAAAUCACUUGUGUGUGCGAACCUAAAACGACGACGCUAAUAUUUAAGUUGCGCAUGAAAAUUCGGCCGCUCGCGUGCAUCGUAUAAAAUAAUUUCGGUAGGUAGUGGUUAUCACGUUUAAGGUCUAGCCACGUACAAAUAUAGCCAUUGUUCGUGCAGCGAGCGGCGAGAGUAUUUGUUGGUUUUGCACAAAAACGCGAUAACAUCAUAUUUCUAAAAUACAAAUUACAGUAAACAUUAUUUGGUACUUGAAAAAAAAGCGUGCAUGCUGCGCGCAUGGGAAAGUUCAGUACAUAUUUUAAUCUCUACACAACGCUGGCUUGUGUCGUAGUGAUAGCAGCGAAAAAGUUUCUUUUGUCGUUCCAAGCUACGGCAUAUGCAAAACAUUUUAUAAAACGGGUAAUUAUUCGUUUUGUUGUAGCAGAGUACAACUGCUUAUAAAUUCUUAAACCUUUGACUGAGGGAUGAGUUUUAAUUUUUUAUUUUCGGAAAAUUAUCUUGUAUGUUGUAUGUCUAUGUAUUCAUUCUUCAUAUAUACGUAAUUGUAUUUUUUAAACAUGCAAAAUUUGUACAUGAAACGCAGAAAAGGUUAUUUUUUAUAUCCUUUGACGAUUAAUGUUUUUUCGUUCUCAACAGUCAAAGAUAUUAUUUUAUAUCUGUAUAUAUAUAAGCUUACUGGAAUAAAAAUAAAUGUUAAUGUAAAAGUGUUUUCAAUAUAAUAAUAUAUCCCUCAAAAAUUUCCCUUGCGAAUGAAUCCUGACGACCGCUGCAACCGCAGUGCGCGCGGAUUUCGCGUCCGUCGGAACAACGAACGACGGAAAAUACAGCGGCAGGUUAUGCUUCCCAUCUCGAGAUCCUACCUCCCGUUGCUGCCUCGAUGGGAAUUCCCAUUCUUCGCGUUCGACGGCCCGGAAUUUUCCGGCAGGCGGCUUCGGCGG